rnacentral:lncRNA from 1 species
GAGGAGGAAGUUCCGGCGAAGGGAAGUUCGGGACAGCCCUUGCUUUCGAGCGGCACCGCUCUCUCACGGCGGCGCUAGGGCUCCUCUCACCGGUCUAGAAAUGUUGCUGGGAGGGAGACCGACCGAACGGGACCGGUCCGGCGGCGAACGGAGGUCGGACGGCGGCGGGAGGACGGCCGGAAAUUUCCUGGGUGUAGAGAGAAAAAAAAUCGGGUGGGAGGAGAGAGAAUCGGGAGAGAGGGAGAAGAGAAAGAAGAAAUGGGUUGGGCUCGGCCCAGCCGACCCAACACUCCUUUUAACCCAAAAUUCCAAAAUUCAACACCCCGAAAAAAUAAUACCCGAAUAAAAAUUACCUUUUACUAGCUAAAAUUUACCAUUUUUACCGUCGUCGUAUUUUCCCCAUACGAAUUAUCCUCCGCACAUAAUCGUCCCCGAAACCCCUCUAGGGACCAAUUAAACUAUUUACUCAAUGAUUGGGACGGUAAAAUUCUUAUUAUAAUCACGCUAGUAAAUAAGGUAAAAAUAUAAGGGUCGGGAUGUGACACUAUCCCUAAUGAGCGCUCCCACGCGGCCGGAGUACGUCCUCGACUUCCCGCCCGAUACUACGUCGCCAUCCCCGUCAGUACCGAUGACAAUCCUCCCUGAGGUACCGACGAUCUUCUCGAGAGCCUUCCCUGUGACGGGGCCUCUCUUCUUUUUUGCCGGCUUCGCUCCGACGGUGCCUAUCACAUGAUAACCAAAUUGAUUAUUAAAAUCGGAGAAUUAUAAGAAAACACAUCAUUCAUCUUUCAUUACCUGAGGGCGAGGAGGCGGACGCGACGGAUUCCGCCUCCGAUGAUGAUACCCUCGCCGAAAUAAGAGGCGUAUCAAAAGGCACGAACCGGUACGCCGCUGAUGGAGCCACUGGCGGGGGCAGUGGAUAAAAUCGGCGUCCCUGAGUCAUCGACUACAGGUAUGGCCGGUAUCAUCCGCGGAAGGAAUAGGUGAGGCGGCGGCAUUUGUACCCCAGAUGACCCACUA